AGCAGCCGCCGCGGGAAUACAGAGGGUGCGAGCGUUAAUCGGAUUUACUGGGCGUAAAGCGUGCGUAGGCGGCUUUUUAAGUCGGAUGUGAAAUCCCUGAGCUUAACUUAGGAAUUGCAUUCGAUACUGGGAAGCUAGAGUAUGGGAGAGGAUGGUAGAAUUCCAGGUGUAGCGGUGAAAUGCGUAGAGAUCUGGAGGAAUACCGGUGGCGAAGGCGGCCCCCUGGACAAAGACUGACGCUCAGGUGCGAAAGCGUGGGGAGCAAACAGGAUUAGAUACCCCUGUAGUCCCUGUCUCUUAUAC
rnacentral:rRNA from 1 species